UUUAAAGAAAAUACUGAACCUUUAAAAAAAAGGUUGAAACAGGAAAAUAAGAUUCCUUUAAACUCAAGGAACACCUUAAAAUCUUCAGUUAACAAGCCUAAAUUAAACUCCCCUUUGAAAAACAUUCCACGGCACUCAAGAUUAUAUAAAGAUUUUAGUAGCACUACCGGUAAGUUACCAGCUUCUAUUCGUGGAACUUUUACUUGGAAACCACCUGCAACGCCGAUAAAAAGUUUAAAGGAAGACUCUGCAGUUCUUGGGCCAUCUCGAAAUAUCGAUACCACUCUAACCAACGCAGGAAGUUAUGAAAAGUCAGAAGAAGUAAAGACUUCUAUUGGGAACGAGCAACUAGACAGCAUAAUCGAUAAAAGAUUUUCUACACUUCAUAAAUUAACUCUUCAAAUCAAAGAUAAAAAAAUAAAAA